GUGGGGAAUAUUCCGCAAUGGACGAAAGUCUGACGGAGCAACGCCGCGUGAGUGAUGAAGGUUUUCGGACUGUAAAGCUCUGUUGUUUAGGACGAAAGUGCCUGCUGCAAACAGUUGCAGGUAUUGACGGUACUGAACGAGGAAGCCACGGCUAACUACGUGCCAGCAGCCGCGGUAAUACGUAGGUGGCAAGCGUUGUCCGGAAUUAUUGGGCGUAAAGAGCAUGUAGGCGGGAAUCUAAGUCUGUUGUGAAAAUGCGGGGCUCAACCCCGUAUGGCGAUGGAAACUGGAUUUCUUGAGUGCAGGAGAGGAAAGGGGAAUUCCCAGUGUAGCGGUGAAAUGCGUAGAUAUUGGGAGGAACACCAGUGGCGAAGGCGCCUUUCUGGACUGUGUCUGACGCUGAGGCGCGAAAGCUAGGGGAGCGAACGGGAUUAGAAACCCGAGUAGUCC
rnacentral:rRNA from 1 species